rnacentral:rRNA from 1 species
UACGGGGGGGGCAAGCGUUGUUCGGAAUUACUGGGCGUAAAGGGCUCGUAGGCGGCCAACUUAAGUCGGAUGUGAAAUCCCCAGGCUCAACUUGGGAACUGCAUCCGAUACUGGAUGGCUUGAAUUCGGGAGAGGGAUGCAGAAUUCCAGGUGUAGCGGUGAAAUGCGUAGAUAUCUGGAGGAAUACCGGUGGCGAAGGCGGCAUCCUGGACCGACAUUGACGCUGAGGAGGCGAAAAGCUAGGGGAGCAAACGGG